rnacentral:tRNA from 1 species
GCCCGCGUAGCUCAGUUGGCAGAGCAUUGGGCUAGUAUUCCAAAGGUCGUAGGUUCGAUUCCCACUGUGGUCA